rnacentral:rRNA from 1 species
UACGUAGGGGCCGAGCGUUGUCCGGAGUUAUUGGGCGUAAAGCGCGCGCAGGCGGCUUCGCGCGCCCGACGUGAAAGCCCCCGGCUUAACCGGGGAGAGUCGUUGGGGACGGCGGAGCUUGAGGGCGGGAGAGGUCGGUGGAAUUCCCGGUGUAGUGGUGAAAUGCGUAGAGAUCGGGAAGAAGGCCGGUGGCGAAGGCGGCUCUCUGGAACGUUCCUGACACUGAGGCACGAAAGCGUGGGGAGCAAACAGG